GCCCGUCUAGCUCAGUUGGUAGAGCGUAAGGCUCUUAACCUUAUGGUCUUGGGUUUUCGAGUCUCAUGGUGGGCG